GUAGGAGGAUUUGUUUCACAUUGUGGAUGGAAUUCUGUGCUUGAAAGCAUAUGGUUUGGUGUCCCAAUUGCGACAUGGCCAAUGUAUGCAGAGCAACAAUUUAAUGCCUUUGAAAUGGUGACAGAGUUGGGAUUAGCAGUGGAAAUUAAAAUGGAUUAUAGGAAUGACAGUGGAGUAAUUGUGAAUUGUAAUGAAAUAGAGAGAGGAAUAAGAAGUUUGAUGGAACAAGAUAGCAAG
rnacentral:misc_RNA from 1 species